AUUCCAGCUCCAAUAGCGUAUAUUUAAGUUGUUGCAGUUAAAAAGCUCGUAGUUGGAUUUCGGAUGAAUGCGACCGGUCCGUCGUUACGAUGUGUACUGGUUGCGUCCAUCUUGCUGUCGGGGACGCGCUCCUGGCCUUAACUGGCUGGGACGCGGAGUCGGCGAAGUUACUUUGAAAAAAUUAGAGUGUUCAAAGCAGGCUUACGCUCUGAAUACAUUAGCAUGGAAUAACGCGAUAGGACUCUGGUCUUAUUGUGUUGGUCUUCGAGACCGGAGUAAUGAUUAAGAGGGACAGUUGGGGGCAUUCGUAUUUCAUUGUCAGAGGUGAAAUUCUUGGAUUUAUGAAAGACGAACUUCUGCGAAAGCAUUUGCCAAGGAUGUUUUCAUUA
rnacentral:rRNA from 1 species